GCACGAGUAGCUCAGUUGGUAGAGCAUCACGUUGCCAACGUGAGGGUCGCCAGUUCGAAUCUGGUCUCGUGCUCCA
rnacentral:tRNA from 2 species